AUAUAUUUUCACAAUAUGAUGAGUCAAACAGUCCCAAAAAUAAAAACCAUAGAUUUGCUAGACUUAAAUAAAGGCAACAGUAGUAUACCGCUGUUCAAAACUCAUAAAUCCAUGGACAAAAAACAAAAUCGGGGUGACAAACCAAAACCGAGGAAAACGCAUUAAAUAUAAGAGGAGAACAAAGACACAACACCGAAACGGACCAAGCAUCAGACAAAACACCACGAGAAUAAAUACAACAUGAAAACCAAAUACAUGAAUUUGGGAUAGACAAGUACCGUGCCACGUCUUAUCUCAAUAUCUCAAAAAUAAGAGAAAACACAAACGACUCAACGUUAAAAUGCAACACACACAGAAACGAAC
rnacentral:lncRNA from 1 species